UGGCCAGUGAUGAAAUCUGUUGUCAAAUUACACCAUCUUUCGGGACUGAUUUUUCCUUGAUGAUAUUCUGCAAUUCUGAGGCUG